GUUUCUUCGGAAAUGGAUUAGCGGCGAACGGGUGAGGAACACGUGAAGAAUCUGCCCUCCACUUUGGGAUAACACAGGGAAACCUGUGCUAAUACCGAAUAUUGAAACAUAAGUGGCAUCACUGAGUUUUGAAAGAAUUUCGGUGGAGGAUGACUUCGCGGCCUAUCAGCUAGUUGGUGAGGUAAUGGCUCACCAAGGCAACGACGGGUAGCCGGCCUGAGAGGGCGACCGGCCACACUGGGACUGAGACACGGCCCAGACUCCUACGGGAGGCAGCAGUGGGGAAUAUUGGGCAAUGGAGGAAACUCUGACCCAGCGACGCCGCGUGCGGGAUGAAGGCCUUCGGGUUGUAAACCGCUUUCAGUAGGGAAGAAGCGGAAGUGACGGUACCUACAAAAGAAGCACCGGCUAACUAUGUGCCAGCAGCCGCGGUAAUACAUAGGGUGCAAGCGUUGUCCGGAAUUAUUGGGCGUAAAGAGCUCGUAGGUGGUUCGUUACGUCGGAUGUGAAAAUCUGGGGCUCAACCCCAGACCUGCAUCCGAUACGGUCGAGCUAGAGUUUGGUAGGGGAGACUGGAAUUCCUGGUGUAGCGGUGGAAUGCGCAGAUAUCAGGAGGAACACCAAUGGCGAAGGCAGGUCUCUGGGCCAAUACUGACACUGAGGAGCGAAGCGUGGGGAGCGAACAGGAUUAGAUACCCUGGUAGUCCACGCCGUAACCGGUGGGCGC
rnacentral:rRNA from 1 species